GUUAUGUAGCAAACGGUAGAAAAAUUAAAAUUCUAACAGAUAGAAGUGAAAAAUUUUCGUUGUGAAUUAUAAUAAUCCUGACAACUUACAUAUAUGAAUACAGGGGUCGAAUGGUUACAUCCGAGCACGGAUCGUCACACAUACGAAAGAAAAUUAGGUGAAACGUCAAUCGUAUGCGGUGAUUGGCGUUACGGGGCAUCUCGACAGGCAAAAAUUUAUAGUAUACUAACUGUAUUGAUGUGCGUAUUGCCUGUGGAGACCCCAUAUUGCUUAUGGAAUACAAUAUAUAGAAUUAUACGCUGCAAGACGGAAGAGUGUUAGUGAACAGCUGAAAAUGUUACAUAUUCUGGAAUUUUCAAUUGAAUGGGAGAUUACGAAAGACGAAUACCCAACUUUUCAAGAAGAAGAAAACGAAAAGCGCAGGGUAAUUACCCUGCAAGACGGAGGUAACAGAUUGCACAAACACAUUGAAACAUUUUCAGUCCACCAUUGCACACCAUGUAGAGUCAUCCUUGGAUAAUAUGAUACGAGACUCUUUGAUUCGAGAGAGAGCUGUCAAAACUCGCAUUUUUUAUAACAUUUGUCAAUGAUGUCACUGCUGAAAAACAUUAUAUUGAGUAUGUAAUAAAUUAUACAAAACACUAAAUAAAACACUUUGAAAAUGC